UACGUAGGGUGCUAGCGUUGUUCGGAAUCACUGGGCGUAAAGCGCGUGUAGGCGGCCUGUUAAGUCUGAUGUGAAAGCCCGGGGCUCACCCCCGGAAGUGCAUUGGAAACUGCCAGGCUCGAGUCCCGGAGAGGAGGGUGGAAUUCCUGGUGUAGCGGUGAAAUGCGUAGAUAUCAGGAGGAACACCGGUGGCGAAGGCGACUACCUGGCCUGUUCUUGACGCUGAGGCGCGAAAGCUAGGGGAGCAAACGGG
rnacentral:rRNA from 1 species